UUUCCGUAGGUGAACCUGCGGAAGGAUCAUUAAAAAAUUGGACUCCAUUGGUGAGUUCAUUAAUAAUCCCUACCCUUUGUGAAUUUGUUUGUUUGAAUAAUUUUUUUUCCAAAAAAAUUAUUGUAUGUCUUUCCUUGUUUUGGUGGAGCUUGUAAAGUGAAACCAGGCAGGGGAAUGGCAAACAAUAAUUAUUUUUGAAAAAGACCUUUUUUUAAAAUUAAACUUUUUGUAUUCAUUUGUCUAAAAUUAAUUUUUAUAAUAUAAAAACAACUUUUGGCAAUGGAUCUCUUGGUUCUCGCAACGAUGAAGAACGCAGCAAAAUGCGAUAAGUAGUGUGAACUGCAGAAUACGUGAAUCAUCGAAUCUUCGAACGCAUAUUGCACUUUUUUAGUUUACUAAAAAAGUAUGUCUGUUUGAGUAUCAGUAAAAUAUUCUCAUAAAAAACAUUGUUUUUUUUAUGGUUAUGAGUGUUUUACAACGAUAACAAGUUGUUUCACUUUAAAUUCUUUGUUAUCAAAAAAAUCAUUAAAAGCUAAUUUUAAAGAUUUUUUAAAAUUGGAUAAAAUUUUCCCGUAAAAAGGAAUAACCUAAACAAUUUUAAAAAAUUAAAAUUGGUUUGAUUUUUUUUGAAACCCAAAGGAAAAAAAAAACGAAAUUAACUUGAUCUCAAAUCAGAUAAGAGUACCCGCUGAACUUAAGCAUAUCAAUAAGCGGAGGAAAAGAAACUAACUAGGAUUCCCUCAGUAACGGCGAGUGAAGCGGGAAGAGCUCAAAUUUGAAAUCUUCAAGGUUUUACCUUGACGAAUUGUAGUUUAAAGAAGUGUUUUCUGUUGGAGUUUUGGUAAAAGUUCUUUGGAAAAGGACAUCAUAGAGGGUGAGAAUCCCGUAUUUGACCAUUAUCUCCAGCUUUGUGAUACACUUUCAAAGAGUCGGAUUGUUUGGGAAUGCAGUCCAAAAUGGGUGGUAAAUUUCAUCUAAAGCUAAAUACUGGCGAGAGACCGAUAGCGAACAAGUACCGUGAGGGAAAGAUGAAAAGAACUUUGAAAAGAGAGUUAAACAGUACGUGAAAUUGUCAAAAGGGAAGCGUUUGACACCAGUGUUGUUUUCUCGAAAAUCAAUUAAAAAAGGCCGGAUUUUGUGUUGUAUUGACUUUAUCAGCUUUCUGCACUCUUUUCUUGUCUUUUUUAAUGCACUUUUCGUUUAACAAGUCAACAUCAAUUUCUUUUGUUGUAAAAGGGUCAUUGGAAGGUGGCUUUCUUUUCGGAGAAAGUGUUUAUAGCCUUUGGCCUCUGCAAUCGGAGAGAUUGAGGUCUGCAGCGUAGAUCCUUCGGGGUUAGAUACAUUUGUGCUAAGUUAUAGCCUUUCAUAGACAACUUGUUGACUAUGAUCAGUCAUGUAGCUUACUCGCUUAUGCUAUUUUACCUACGCUUAGGAUGUUGAG
rnacentral:misc_RNA from 1 species